rnacentral:tRNA from 1 species
CCGCCGGUGGCGGGGACGUGGGCGGAGCUGCCGGUGCCGUGGACGGUGCCGUUCGAGUCGGUCCAGUCGGCCA